UACCUCUUCAAUCUUCUAGGAAACAUCCACAAGGGACCACUUGACAGGAACUAGAGCUAUUUUUGGUGAAGUAGAAGAGAUUACACCGCCCUAGAUUGAGCCAACCUUUUAAAAUCGUGUUAGAGCCAAAUGUUGACACCUAGCUCUCACCAUGCCACCUCAACUUUCACCAUUAAACAAGAAAACUCGCCACUGUAAUCUCCAUCUCUCCCUCACCGUGUUCCCCUAGGAAAAUCCACAAGAACUUCCUCGGAGGAGCCGAGAACUUCGCCCUUUUCUCUCGAACCGAAGAUGUUUGAUUCGUAGAAAUUUUUUUCUGAUCGAGCACCUUGUGCCAAGCUCGACGUCGCUCUCGGUGUCCAGAGCGCCCGCUGACCGAGCCCUCGCGCCACGAGCGUCGCCAAGGUACUAGUAGGCUACCCACCAAGGGAAUCAAGCUGGGGAGCUCCCAAUCGCGAGAUCGAACCUUUCUUCCUCAAGUCCGGCCGCCGGCUAUCGUCGUCAAUUCAUCGUUCUCGGCCGGAAGACCGGAGGAAGCCGACGUCGUCGCACUGCUGUUUUCCGCCGCCGCCGGAGCGUUCCUCGGUUCUCCAUCGCUGUCCAAGCUUCGCCGGAGCACACACGACCUCAAAUUAUUGCAUUGACAGUGAAGGAGUGAAUUAAAAUGCUAUCUAAUUUCUCAAGAUUAAGGCAAGUUCUCCUCCCAUCCUUUGAUCACAUUGAAUCCCAUGAUUUGAGGAAUGAAAAUAUUUGUUUGCAAAGUUGCAUAUGAACUUAGACUAUAUCGGUAUUUUAAAACUUGGUUAUGGUAGUUAUGUCCUAUUUGCUGCAUAUUCCUCCUUGAAUAAUUGUGAUCCUUAUUGUUUGUACCCCUAGAAAUGGUUAGAGUACACUCAUUGUGCUCAAAUGGGUGUAUAUAUGCUCUAUAUGCAACUACUUACUUAGCCAUGCUUAGAAUUAUGCAAAGUACUUAUUUCAUCUAUUAUUAAAAUGUGAUUUUGAUAUAUGAACACUUGUUGGAAUAAAAUGAAUAUGUUGGAUAUUUGCGAACUAAAAUGUGUAAAAUGUGUAAAAUGUGGUUUUAGAUCCGGGCGGCAAGAGGUAUGCAUAUGGUAUUAAUUGCAUACCGAUAGGGGGAGUGUUUGCCCAAGUCCAUAAGGACCGAAGUUGUGUCACCAACUUAAAAUUAACCGUACAUCCACAUGUGCUAGUAUGGGAUGGCCUUAGCUCAUUAAGUUGUUUAUUAUUUAUCCUUGCAUUAGGGAGGCCGUUGUAGUAGCGAUCGUACCUACUAGUGAACUGUAGGGCUAUUUGUGUUUAUGUAAAUUGCAAAGGGGACGAUUGUACCGAUCCGCCUUUUAUGUGUAUGAUGUUUAUGAGGGGAUGACUGUAACGUUCCGCCUCACUUUUAUUUAUGGUUUGAUAGGGAACGACUGUGUUGUUCCGCGUGAGGGGACGACUGAAAUGUUCCGCCUCACGUACAACGUUGAGUGCCACAUAGGAAGCGAUUGUACCGGCUUGUCUAUGGUGUUAUAUUGGUAAAGAUCUCCCCACUAUAAUAACAUUAAGAUUCUAGACUUAGUGUGGAACAACACUCAUCGUGCUCAUGCAAGGAUUAGAUAAUAAAUAAUGUAAAGGCUUCGUUAUGAUCUCUAGACCACAUUCACCAUGAAGAGUGUGCUAGUGCGUCGCGAGCACGAAACAAACUAGAGUGUUCAUAUCAUGUGGGUAAAGCUGUACAAACUCUGUAGAGUCUAAAAACUAAUCGAUUAGCCGUGCUCAUGGUCAUGAGCGCUUGGUGAAGUGUCAUGAGUAUAGACUUAUGUUUUAAAAUGUGUUAUGAAACUUGGGUUUGGAAUGGGUGAAAAGUGUUGAGUUGUGUAAGUGUGAUGAUAAUUAUAUGACUUGUCGUCAAGGAAGACAACAAGAGUAUGCUUAUGAUGAUAUAAUGAUAUUUAUGAUGAACUUAAAAAAUGUUUUGUUAACUGAAUCAUCAACUUCUUUACAAAAGUAUUGUGAAACAAAACUUGCUUUAUGCUGAAAUUGAACUACAUAUUGCCCUCCUUUGAAUAUAUGCCUUACAUGUAGUAUGUUAUGAUUGUCUUGUGCUUGCUGCUUGCCAGUAUAUUAAUUUGAUUAAUGUACUGAUUCUUGCUGUUGAGUUAACCUUUUGCUUGCAGGUUUUAGAGUUAGUCUUUGAGUGAUGCGGGUUUCGAUUGCUUCUUCUAGGAUGAGAACUUAAUGGAUGAACCCUUAGUCGAUGUGCUUGUGUUUGGUAGUCAAGCUUCCGUUGUUCCCUAAUAUGUCUACUUGGCCGGUCGGCCUAUGUAUCUAUUAAGUAGUUGUAACCUGAAUUUUAUUUGCUUUA